GGUGGAGUUUAAAGAAGCAGAUUGAACGAAGACCACCACCAUGAUCCCGUCGCGCCCGCUCGCCCACACACGUCCUAGUAGCUAGGUAGGUAGUGAAGGGGUGGGGACGAUCGUAGGUAGGCCUCCUCUUUGUUUGGUACCGCUCUCACCUCGACGUUCACCUCGGUACCGUUCUUGAGCAUCAGGUCCACUACCACGACGACUCGAAGUGCUACGUCGAUCACGAAGAGCACGACCGCCUCAAGGCGGCCGCGUACCUGAGGCCACACGACUCCCGGCACUAUACCAGCCGGAUGUACUACCGGCUGAGCUGGCGCUGAAUGUAGGACCCUGUGGAGAGGAACUGCUCGUCCAGUCGGCUGGUGGUCGAGUACCGCAAAACCCGCGGGAAGGACGACGACGUGGAACCACCCGUCCUGUUGUAGUGGCGGAUGCGGUAGCUCCUGUUAGCCGACACCCACGCCGUAGACGUCCGAGAGCGGCACGUCUAGCGACGUCGAUGGAUGCAGGAUAUGCUCAGGUGACACCAGCCGUGGGUCCGGGACGAGGCCUUACGACGACAGGAGCACAAGCACGACCCGCAACAGUUCAUACCCCUCUCCCACACCCGCGAGUUCGCACGACUGUAAUCGAGCAGCCCGUCGUUUAUGGCCAAGAUGUUCUUGGACUGGCUAUGAGUCUAACCUGGAGGAUGUCUGGUCGCUCUGCUGUGCCUCCUGGACGACGCCUAUCGGGUGGAAGAAAACCUACAAGGUUUCCUUUACAAAGUCCCCGGCAACGGGCAGCAUCACCAUGGCUGUGUGGAUAUGCUACUACGGGUGCGGUUCGGGUAGAGGCGCCUACUCUACAUGUUCCACCACCUCUACGUCGAGUCGGACUACGUACUACAGCACAUGUCGUUCCGGCACCACUAGGUGUGUACCAUACCGUAGACAUAGGCGUAGUAAAGAGGACACAAGCAACGGUAGCGCAAGUUCAAUAAGGUGUUCAGCCCACGGCCACUGGUGGUGAUAUCGCCUCGUCUGUAACAGUAGUGAAUAUAGGACGAUUAACCCCGCCAAUAUGACCUCAACCAAAGCCACGAUUCCCGGUACAAGAGGUCUACCGGUUCGGAACAUGAUACCUUUGAACGGAUGUUACUGCAGCCUUUCCUUUCCGCGUACACCCCAAACGAAAGGGCACGUUAACGCAGAUAGGCGGCCAAGCAGGAAGGUAACUCCAUGUUCAGCUCUACCACCACCAGCCUGAGAUACCCCGUCGUGUUGUAAAAGCUUAAUACGCAAGCGUCGUCCCGAUCGGUUCCUUCGUCCUAGCGCCCGUCCUACCCCCAGCUCCUGACCACCUUGUGCUACCAGAUGAGUACCAGGUAGGGGCAGAGGUUUUGAUAAUUCCUUGAUCACCACGUUGAUCACGAGCUCUCAUCCGUCUCGAUAUACGAUUCGAUGGUGUCCGGCAUGAGGAUAUGGUGCGACCUCGGUCUAGUGUAUUAAUUGAGUGCCCCGGCCCGCCGGAAUCUCUCCACCUUCAACAUACUCUUUGACCCUUUUAAGGACGUAUUCCUCAAACUACUCUCGUAGGAACACACCGUAUAGCGGUGGUUAUAGAUGGAGACAACCGUGUUUCUAGUCCCCCUUCGACAACGUCUACUAUACACAGUAGAACGCCUCCACUACAGGUUAAUGUACGAAAAGGAGGAACGUCGUGCGGGGAUGUACAACGGCCCGAGACAGUCGGCGUGGUGUAUACAAUUAAACACGAUGAGGGAGUGGUAGCGGUCAGAGUUUAUGUGGAGUCGUGUACUAAACCGGUCAAACGAUUUCCCCAGUUAUAAAGGGAACGGCUGUUAUCAUGUCACACACUACGUGCGUUUGAACGAGUCCUUAACCAGAGAGGUCUUAGACCGGGUGGACGAGGCGACCUCUACUAGCAGCUCCACACCUACCUCUACAACACAAUGCGACCCAUGGUUACGUCGCCCACAAGAGUACGGUUCGUCGACUCGUUGCCGCCGCUCGAGGAGUGGCACCAACGGGAACACCACCUCAUGGCCUCUUCUCCGUAGGAGCUGGGAAUAUCCUCAUUUGGCGACAGGAAGAUGCCGAGACUUAAAAAAAAUCCACAGGGAACUACUUGGUAACUCGGGCAGACCGGGUUGUUACUCUAUAGACUUCAGAUUCGAUUCGGGGAACUACUCUACAGGUUACAAAGAGGAGACCUACUAUGUUGGUGAUAGGGGUAGUUCAAUACAAGCGACCACCAUGGGGUUCCUUGAUGUCACCACGUACUACCACAAGGUGAUGAAGUCGGUCAACAGCAACGAAUAGGCAAACGAUGAACAACGAACACGAACUUGGGAGAUACGAAGAAGGGGACAUCUUACUUACUUACUUGACGCCCUAACA
rnacentral:rRNA from 1 species